GACGAACGCUGGCGUCGUGCUUAACACAUGCAAGUCGAACGAGAAAGCCCUUCGGGGUAAGUACAGUGGCGAACGGGUGAGUAACACGUGGGCAACCUGCCCCAGAGAGCGGGACAACCCGGGGAGACCCGGGCUAAUACCGCAUGAUGCGUCUCCACUUAAGUGGAGCCGCCAAAUGGUAGCUUCGGCCUCCGCUCUGGGAUGGGCCCGCGCCGGAUUAGCUAGUUGGUUGGGGUAACGGCCCACCAAGGCGACGAUCCGUAGCUGGUCCGAGAGGACGAUCAGCCACACUGGGACUGAGACACGGCCCAGACUCCUACGGGAGGCAGCAGUGGGGAAUCUUGCGCAAUGGGCGAAAGCCUGACGCAGCAACGCCGCGUGGGGGAAGAAGGCCUUCGGGUUGUAAACCUCUUUCAGUAGGGACGAAGCUUCCGGGGUUAAUAGCCUACGGGGUGACGGUACCUACAGAAGAAGCCCCGGCUAACUACGUGCCAGCCGCCGCGGUAA
rnacentral:rRNA from 1 species